rnacentral:rRNA from 1 species
GGAUGAACGCUGGCGGCGUGCUUAACACAUGCAAGUCUUAGCGAAGCAGUUAAGUUGAUUUCUUCGGAUUGAUUCUUGACUGACUGAGCGGCGGACGGGUGAGUAACGCGUGGGUGACCUGCCCCAUACCGGGGGAUAACAGCUGGAAACGGCUGCUAAUACCGCAUAAGCGCACAGAGCUGCAUGGCUCCGUGUGAAAAACUCCGGUGGUAUGGGAUGGGCCCGCGUCUGAUUAGGCAGUUGGCGGGGUAACGGCCCACCAAACCGACGAUCAGUAGCCGGCCUGAGAGGGCGACCGGCCACAUUGGGACUGAGACACGGCCCAAACUCCUACGGGAGGCAGCAGUGGGGAAUAUUGCACAAUGAGGGAAACCCUGAUGCAGCGACGCCGCGUGAGCGAAGAAGUAUUUCGGUAUGUAAAGCUCUAUCAGCAGGGAAGAUAAUGACGGUACCUGACUAAGAAGCCCCGGCUAACUACGUGCCAGCAGCCGCGGUAAUACGUAGGGGGCAAGCGUUAUCCGGAUUUACUGGGUGUAAAGGGAGCGUAGACGGCAAGGCAAGUCUGAUGUGAAAACCCAGGGCUUAACCCUGGGACUGCAUUGGAAACUGUCUGGCUCGAGUGCCGGAGAGGUAAGCGGAAUUCCUAGUGUAGCGGUGAAAUGCGUAGAUAUUAGGAAGAACACCAGUGGCGAAGGCGGCUUACUGGACGGUAACUGACGUUGAGGCUCGAAAGCGUGGGGAGCAAACAGGAUUAGAUACCCUGGUGGUCCACGCCGUAAACGAUGAAUGCUAGGUGUUGGGGAGCAAAGCUCUUC